rnacentral:lncRNA from 1 species
CUUGGUGGGUGUGGGUGGUCAACUGCAAAAUAAUCAAAGGGCUCAAAUUCACAGCAGUAGAUAAUCCAUAACACAGGGUUAGGCAACAUUAGGUGGGUCCAGGAAACCUUCACAGCUGAAGACCCAGAGAAGGGAACUGGGCCGGAAACACAGCAUCCGGGAACAAGCUGCAAGGAAGUGAUUGCCAAAGCCAACCGCCUGUGCAACCACAACAAGGGAAUCAACAGGCGUAUUCGGGCGUAUUCGGCUUGAGACGUGGCCUGCAAGGUUGGAGUGCAAUGGCGCGAUCUCGGCUCACUGCAACCUCCGCCUCCUGGGUUCAAGGGAUUGUCCUGCUUCAGCCUCCUGAGUAGCUGGGAAUACAGGAGCUUCAGAUAUAUACCUGUCGUGGUUUGGCUCUGUGUUUCCACCCAAAUCUCAUGUCAGAUUGUAAUCCCCACACGUUGAAGGAGGGGCCUGGUGGGAGGUGAUUGAAUCACGGGAGCAGACUUGUCCCUUGCUUUUCUAGCGAUGGAGUUCUCAGGAGAUCUGGUUGUUUGAAAGUGCGUGGCACUUUCCCCUUUCCUGUCUCUCUCUCUCUCCUGUUCUGCCAUGGUAAGACGUGUUUGCUUCCCCAUAGCCUUCCACCAUGACUGUAAAUUUCCUGAGCCCUCCCAGCCAUGCUUUCUGUACAGCCUGUGGAACUGUGAGUCAAUUAAACCUCUUUUCUACAUAAAUUA